CCCUGUGUGUCCCUCUGGAUCUGACAGAGGAUCAUCAGUGUAUCUGGACUGCUCUGCUGCUGCUCUGUCCUUCUACAGUCUCUGCACAGUCUCUGUCUGACUCUGGCUUCAGACCCUCCUGGAUCAAACUCACCUGGAAAGACUUUCAAACAUCACUCAAUAGAUUUGAAUACAGAAUAGAUUUGAUAUAUACUGUAGAUGUACUGUAGAGUUGCAGUUUGUCACUUGUAAAUACAGUCUGUGAGCAGCUAUGAGCUGAAAGAUCUUUCUAGAAACACCAAAUGUUUUCACUCUUCUGUUGCUUUUUCAUAUAUUUCCACAACAUUAAUAUUGAUCCCACCUGUCUCACCUGUUUCAUGCUUUUAUACAUAAGAACAGGACACGUGUGAUCUGAGCGCUGCUGUGGUUGCUGUGCUGCACGUCUUCAUUUAGAUAACAGAGACAUCUAGUGGUUCAGAGGAGAACUGCAGGAGGUGGAGCUGUGUUUUAGCAUGGAAAACUUUUUAUCUUUUAGGCGCAGAUACAAAUAUGACAAGUAUCAGUGUGAGAUACAAAAGGUCACAUCAGUCAGCAGAGGGAACAGUGAUCACACAGCAAUGUAAGAAUAGAAACAUAACAGUGAAUCUGGACAUGUGUACAGAUGGAAGCAAACAAACAGGAUGUAACACUACAUUAAAGCCACAAAUGGAAAGAAAACAAAGCCAAAGGAAAAUAUAUUUGAUCUCAGGAAUCCAAAUCAGAUGCUUUAGAGCAGGGGUCGGCAACCCUGGGCACGCUUGUCACAGCUGGCACGUGAAGGGUUAACUGAUGGCACGACCACAGCUGGACUGGCCAUCGGGCAUACCGGGCAUUUUAUCGAUGUUUCUGUUCACACCUCAUGACGAAGGAGUCCACCACAGCCCGGUUCUCCGUCUCAUCACCCUCACUGAUGCAUCAAACCAACGAGAGUCAUCAGGAAACUUCUGAAGAUAGCAGGUCUCUGUGCAGUCUCCAUAUUCCCUCUGACUCUGCAGUACCGCUGUUAGCUCCUUUGUGUUGUUUGCUAGCAACCUAACGUUCCUCAUUACAAUAGACGGGAAGCAAUACAGCCCCAUACUUCUAUUUUGUAGAAGUAUUUAUCAAAUAAAAAGGCUGGUGAGUCUCGAUCAAUAAAGCACCAUUGACAUGCAA